rnacentral:rRNA from 1 species
UACGUAGGCAGCAAGCGUUGUUCGGAGUUAUUGGGCGUAAAGAGCGUGUAGGCGGUUUGGUAGGUCCGCUGUGAAAACUCGAGGCUCAACCUCGAGACGUCGAUGGAAACCGUCUGGCUAGAGUCCGGAAGAGGAGAGUGGAAUUCCUGGUGUAGCGGUGAAAUGCGCAGAUAUCAGGAAGAACACCCGUGGCUAAGGCGGCUCUCUAGUACGGUACUGACGCUGAGACGCGAAAGCGUGGGGAGCGAACAGG